rnacentral:tRNA from 1 species
GCUGGCGUGGCUCAAUCGGCAGAGCGGCCGCCUAGUAAGCGGUCAGGUGUGGGUUCAAGUCCCACCGCCAGCC